rnacentral:snoRNA from 1 species
UAUUUCAAAAGUGCUUACCACAGGCUGUGUUCUUAUACUGACUGUACAGAAAAGGGAAGCAGAGCAAACCCAUCCAAUAUACACAUCAGCCUAGCAUCUGUGCCUGGUCUGGACUGUGAAUAGGGGGACAAAG